rnacentral:rRNA from 1 species
AGGCCUAUCAGUAUCCUGAGUAGGGCGGGACACGUGAAAUCCCGUUUGAAUCCGCGAGGACCAUCUCGCAAGGCUAAAUACUAACCAGUGACCGAUAGUGAACCAGUACCGUGAGGGAAAGGUGAAAAGAACCCCGGGAGGGGAGUGAAAGAGAACCUGAAACCGUGUGCCUACAAGUAGUCAGAGCCCGUUAACGGGUAAUGGCGUGCCUUUUGUAGAAUGAACCGGCGAGUUGCGUUAGUCAGCAAGGUUAAGUCAGAAAAGACGGAGCCGUAGCGAAAGCGAGUCUGAAGAGGGCGAGCAGUUGGCUGACGCAGACCCGAAACCAAGUGACCUACCCAUGACCAGGUUGAAGGCGCGGUAAAACGCGCUGGAGGACCGAACCCACGUAAGUUGAAAAUUGCGGGGAUGAGUUGUGGGUAGCGGUGAAAUUCCAAACGAACUUGGAGAUAGCUGGUUCUCUCCGAAAUAGCUUUAGGGCUAGCCUCGCAAAGAGGAUGCUGGAGGUAGAGCUCUGUUUGGACUAGGGGCCCGUCAAGGGUUACUGAAUUCAGAUAAACUGCGAAUUCCAGACAUUUAUGUGCGGGAGUCAGACUGCGAGUGAUAAGAUCCGUAGUCGAAAGGGAAACAGCCCAGAUCACCAGUUAAGGUCCCAAAAUUCAUGCUAAGUGGAAAAGGAUGUGGAGUUGCGCAGACAACUAGGACGUUGGCUCAGAAGCAGCCAUCAUUCAAAGAGUGCGUAAUAGCUCACUAGUCGAGUGACGCCGCGCCGAAAAUUUACCGGGGCUAAGCAUGAUACCGAAACUGUGGAUGUGCGUUUAUGCACGUGGUAGGAGAGCGUUCUAGCGGCGGUGAAGCAUGACCGAGAGGACAUGUGGAGCUUCUAGAAGUGAGAAUGCCGGUAUGAGUAACGAAAGACAGGUGAGAAUCCUGUCCGCCGCAAGACUAAGGUUUCCUGGGGCAGGCUCGUCCGCCCAGGGUAAGUCGGGACCUAAGGCGAGGCCGAGAGGCGUAGUCGAUGGACAACAGGUUGAAAUUCCUGUACUGCACCGAAUCGUUAUGAGCGAUGGAGGGACGCAGGAGGCUAGCAGCGCGUGGUGCUGGAUACCACGUUCAAGCGUCAAGUCUGAGAGUGAGUCAAAUGCUUGCUCUCAUAAGGACAAGGCGUGAUGAGGAGCGAAAUUAAAGUAGCGAAGGCUGCGACGUCACACUGCCGAGAAAAGCUUCUAGCCAGAGACGGUGCACCCGUACCGCAAACCGACACAGGUAGUCGAGGAGAGUAUCCUCAGGUGAGCGAGAGAACUCUCGUUAAGGAACUCGGCAAAAUGGCCCCGUAACUUCGGGAGAAGGGGCGCUGGUCGCAAGAUCAGCCGCAGUGAAAAGGCCCAAGCAACUGUUUAUCAAA